UGUCAAUGCCUUUUACAUAUCAAUGCCAUCCUACUUAUUAAAAUUCUCUUUAAUAUCUCCUAGUGCCAAUUGCCCAAAUAAAAAGGUUUUUUUCGGUUUCAGAAGUUGCUUAACUUUUGGCCAACUUGUUACUAAUAAUCAAUACUUUUUGUACUAUUAUAAGUUUGAAAGAGAUCAUUAGAUAUCUGACUGUGUAUACUCACAUCAAAUAAUCUAAACAUGAAGUAGAACAAUUUGUCUCUAGAGGGUGCUGCUCUCUAGUUUCUUUCACUACUUGUAUAGUUUGCACCUCUUUGUAAGCUUUUCCUAUCAAUAAAUUUUGUGCCACACCUUACUCUUUUUGCUUAUUUAGGACAAACUGUAUACAGCUCUAGGGAAACUUACGAUUCUCGUUAAGGAAGCUGGAGACGUUGUCCUGGCUUACCAUCUAGUUGGGUAAAUGCCUUUUUUAAUCUCUUCUCAUUUUCUUCUCUUCUCCUUUUCUCUAAUAGGUCAUUAUGCAUCUUCUUGUUGCUAAUAUGUCACUUGGGCAAUAACAUUGAAUUUUAGUUGCACUUUUAAAUUUUUCCCGGCUUUUAAAAGAUGUGAUAUACAGUUUAGACCUGUUGUUCGCUGCUUUAAGAUUUGGUUCUCUUGAGCCAAGGGGUGGAUAAAAAGUGGACCAAAGUGGGCAAACAGUUUGAUUCAAUUCAUCACUUUUUCCUACGCAUUGCCUACACCUUCUGCUACUAAGAAACAACAAAAAGCUCUCUUUGUGUUUUCAGCAAGUCCUGAAGAUUAUGAAAAAUCCUAGCAUUUCUAGCUCAGUAAAAGAGAAGGAAGGAGUUGUGAAGAUGGAGGAGGAAGAGGGUGUAAAGAGGAGCGGAAGUGAAAAGCCACCAGAGGAUGGCUGUUGUCCCAUUUGCUUUGGGAAUUUCUCUUCAUUGCAAAACCAACUGUGCUCACUGGUUUUGUCGUUCGUUUCUACCGUCUUUUGCUUUUCUUUUCAGAAGUUUGGGUGCUUUUGGUAGGGAAAAUUUUGAAGUCAAAGUUUACUUGGGAAAAUUUUCCAGUUUGGAAUAUCAUUUUAUGGAUUUUUCUGUGUUUUGUUGAGUAAAGGUGAAACAACGUAGUAAUUGCAGGGGCAUGUCAUAUAGAGCAAAACAUGACUACUUGAGUUAUAUUUGCAAGAAAUCUGGACAAGCCCGGAAUGCUAUUUCACAUUGUGGUGAGGAAAUAUUUUUUGUCGGCGAAUUUUGUCGCUCAUUGAUGUAUUAUUUAUGGUUUUGGGAAUUUUUUAGUUGGCCUACUUGCUAAAGUUUAAGCUAAAGAUGUUAAAUUAACUAGUCUCACAAAUUUUCGGUUUUGCAAAUUACCUAACUGAGAACUUGCUCCAAUUGGGCUCAAGAAACGUGAUCUCAGAUAUGAUGCUAUUAGCAUCUUUUGAUAGGGAAAACUUCUGUGUGUUUACACACAAUACACAUGCACAAAAAGAUAUUUUUGAUAGGGGAAAAGUUCUGUGUGUAUGCACAUAACACACGCACAAAAAGAUAAGAGUGUCCCUUCAAGAUAUCCCAAGUGUCCCCCAUGGUAAAGCUGAACCAAGAAUUGGCCAACUAGUUGAUUGCAACAUAUGCAAGUACCCACAUUGAAAUCUUACUACGCCGAGAAAGCUGAAUUAGACAUCUUUUAAUAGGAACCAUCAUUGCAUCACUAUCGGGUUCAGGUGUUGGAUCAAACUGAGUUGUUGCAUUUGUUUCUAUUUGCAUCGUAACAUUGACACCUCUAAUACUAUCUCCAGCCUUGUCAAUCUUUAACCGGUUGCUCAUUUUGCUGACUUCCUACUUCACCUGAUGGCUCAU